CUGGCCCUCGGUCUCCUGGCCUGUAGAAUAGGGAUGCUAACAGGGCCUGGCUCAUUCUCACGAUCCCGAAGAGGAGAUAGGCUAUAAACAGGAGGUGCCAACUCAGCACGCUGCUUGGCAUGCAGCGCCACGCAUCCUCGACACAGCCGCCAUGGCAGGCCUUCGGGCUCCGUCUCCGGGACAGGCGGUGCAGGGCAAAUUGGUAUGCAGCGUCCGCCCCGUGGGCCCGGGAGAGCCUGCCCCGCAGGGCCAGAGCCCAAGGACGGGCUCAACACUCAGUCAAGGUGGGGUUGACGACGGCCAGACAACAGGGGAGGGAGGAGGGACAAGGGGGUCCCCACUUCCAGGGACGCACAAUAGCAGAGCCACUUACACGCUGGGGAGGGGGCGGUGCGGGGGUCCUCCUCCCGCCCGGGAUUCAGAGUCGGGGGUGGGGGCCAGCCGGGCGGGUGAGAUGCGCAGAGAGGAAGGGACAGGGCGGAUAAAGGCACGAGGUGGGGCUCCGGCCAGGCCAGGAAGGGACAUGGGAAGGGUCUCGAGGGGGAGGGGCUGGGCUUCUCCCAACUCCCUCCCCCUCUCCCCCGGGCUGGGGGCUCCGGGGCGGGAUCCUGAGCGCAGUCCUGGCCCUGCGGCGCCCCCCGCCGGGCCGGCCCUCUGAGACCCCGCGCAGGGCCGGCUAGGGGGCGCCGCGCCCCUCACACCAACGCGUAGUCGAACUGCCCGCGCUCGAGCGCCUCCUUGUGGUCGGUCCAGGACGAGGCGGGCAUGCGGCUGUAGGGGUCGAGCAGGAUGCGCACGCAGCGCACCAUCAACAGCACCAGCACCACGAGCAGGCAGAGCACGAAGGCGAACACCGUGCGCUGCUCCGCGUCCAGGCCCGCGCCCACCGGGGGCCCCGUCGACGGCGGCAGGGGCUCCGGCGACAGCGUCCACGUCGCGCUCAUGGCUCACAUCGCCGC
rnacentral:lncRNA from 1 species